GGGGGCGUAAUGGUUUCGACGGGGAUGGAUUGGGUACGGUAAGCGAGCUGCAGGACGCCGGAAUCUGCACUAAAAACCGGCAAACAAAUAAUAACUGCGAAAAACAACGUAGCUUUCGCAGCCUAACGCUGCGACGUUCUACCUGCAUGUCCCGUCGGGCAGGAUAGAACGCCAUUAGAUGGGGAACAGGCCGGGUUAAGCUUUGCCCCCGCGCCGGUAUGAUGAAGCUACCAAGGUAAUUCCCUUGCGUCUUGAGGAAUUGCUGCGGGAAUGAGAUCAAGCCGCUGCGCUCGGAGAAAACUGUAGACGAACAUCUUCGGACAGGGGUUCAACUCCCCUCGCCUCCACCA
rnacentral:tmRNA from 1 species